rnacentral:misc_RNA from 1 species
GAUCUGUAGGUGAACCUGCGGAAGGAUCAUUAAUGAGUUGUCAUGGGGUUCGAUGCUGGCAGCCAAUUUUUGGAUGCAUGUGCUUGCCCUAACAAUCAUCUUCCAAACACCUGUGCACAUUUUUGAGGGAGUCUUGAGUUGGUUGCCGCUCUUGGGUGAUUUUCUCACAUUCCCUUAAAUCAUUAUACGCUAUUAACAAUGUUGAACGUGCUCUGUGCCGCAAGGCUAUUAAUAUAAUACAACUUUUAACAACGGAUCUCUUGGCUCUC